rnacentral:rRNA from 1 species
GACGAACGCUGGCGGCGUGCUUAACACAUGCAAGUCGAACGGAAAGGCCCUGCUUUUGUGGGGUGCUCGAGUGGCGAACGGGUGAGUAACACGUGAGUAACCUGCCCUUGACUUUGGGAUAACUUCAGGAAACUGGGGCUAAUACCGGAUAGGAGCUCCUGCUGCAUGGUGGGGGUUGGAAAGUUUCGGCGGUUGGGGAUGGACUCGCGGCUUAUCAGCUUGUUGGUGGGGUAGUGGCUUACCAAGGCUUUGACGGGUAGCCGGCCUGAGAGGGUGACCGGCCACCUUGGGACUGAGAUACGGCCCAGACUCCUACGGGAGGCAGCAGUGGGGAAUAUUGCACAAUGGGCUGAAGCCUGAUGCAGAAACGCCGCGUGCGGGAUGACGGCCUUCGGGUUGUAAACCGCUUUCGCCUGUGACGAAGCGUGAGUGACGGUAAUGGGUAAAGAAGCACCGGCUAACUACGUG